ACUGAGCCACCCAGGCGCCCCUUACCUAGCAUCUUGUUGAGAACCUUGGAAUCCAUAUUGAUCAGGGAUAUUGGUCUGAAAUUCUCCUUUU